rnacentral:misc_RNA from 1 species
GAUGAAGAACGUAGCGAAAUGCGAUAAGUAAUGUGAAUUGCAGAAUUCAGUGAAUCAUCGAAUCUUUGAACGCACAUUGCGCCCGCCAGUAUUCUGGCGGGCAUGCCUGUUCGAGGGUCAUUUUCACCAUCAAGCUCUGCUUGUGUUGGGGUCCUGCGGCUGCCCGCAGGCCCUGAAACCCAGUGGCGGGCUCGCUAGUCACACCGAGCGCAGUAGCACAUCUCGCUCAGGGCGUGCGGCGGGUUCUUGCCGUAAAACAACCCCCCCUUUUCACCAAGGUUGACCUCGGAUCAGGUAGGAAUACCCGCUGAACUUAAGCAUAUCAAUAAGCGGAGGA